rnacentral:rRNA from 1 species
UUUGGACAAUGGGGGAAACCCUGAUCCAGCCAUCCCGCGUGUAUGAUGAAGGCCUUCGGGUUGUAAAGCUCUUUUGCCAGGGACGAUAAUGACGGUACCUGGAGAAUAAGCCCCGGCAAACUUCGUGCCAGCAGCCGCGGUAAUACGAAGGGGGCUAGCGUUGUUCGGAAUUACUGGGCGUAAAGCGCACGUAGGCUGAUAGUUAAGUGAGGGGUGAAAUCCCGAGGCUCAACCUCGGAACUGCCUUUCAUACUGGCUGUCUCGAGUCCGGAAGAGGUUAGUGGAAUUCCUAGUGUAGAGGUGAAAUUCGUAGAUAUUAGGAAGAACACCAGUGGCGAAGGCGGCUUACUGGACUGUAACUGACACUGAGGCUCGAAAGCGUGGGGAGCAAACAGG